rnacentral:lncRNA from 1 species
UUGCACCAUCUCUGCGAGAUGGUCGUGACCACCUUCAAGCUGCCUUGCCAUCCCUGCACAGACAGAUAAACCGAUCAAGCACAAUCUUGGAACCAGCCAAGAGUCGCAAGAGCACCCGCCCAUGGUUCCUCUUCUUGUCCCUAAACCCAAUCUCACUCAGUUAAACCUCUAAGUAGUGCUCUCUCAUGGAAGAAGUCAGGUUAUUAAAUGUACAAUAUAGUAUCGUCAAAAGAAUGUACAAUAUAGCAACCAACCAUAGGUGAGCAUGAAUCAUAAGAUUGCAUUCUUAUAGCUGGGUUGAUGUGGUUUUUCACCCAUUUGUUUAGCUACAGCAAUAUCAUCAGUGUAUAAGUAAAUGAUGCAUCUGGGCAAACCAACUCUUUAGGUAAGCUAAAUAUAUUGAAAAAAAAUCCAUGGAAAGCGUGCAUAUUUAGCAAGGAAAAGGAGUCUAGAGAGCCUUAGAUUCUUGUUAUGUGUUGAUUUGCAAAAUUUCUGCAGCUAUAUAUUUGCUCAAUCCAAAAGACAUUUUACUCAACCUUCAGUAUAAUGUAUUUCUAAUUGUUCAUAACUCCUGAAAUUUUUGUUAUGGUUUUGCAAGAUUUCGAAAGAAAAUGCAUGAAAAUAUAUUUAAGUUAACAAAUGGCAGCACAUUAUAUAUUAACCAAAAUACACUGGCCGUCCUAAAGCCAAUAUAAAAAACCAACUAAUAAACCUGAAAGUAGGAAUCGGCAUUGCAUUAAUAUCAGAAUCUAAUUGUUCAGGAAAGAAGCAAGUAGCUUGUGCGACUCUAACUAUGCUUUGUCUCUCCCUUUGCGAGUGUGAUACGUACUGAGCUAUGUUUAAAUAUCUACCAAAAAAGUAUGGCGACGACGAAGCUGAUACAAAAAAGGCCAGCAACUCCUAGUGCAAAUCACAACUACAAAAUGUUCAAACCAACUAUUUGCUCAGAUGUUGCAACCAUCCUGCACAAUCAGUACUUUGUACCAUACCAUGAAACACCUAUAUCCCGAAGAAUGAAAGCCAUUACCUUAAUAGGUAAGGCGACUAUUACAGGAAGGAACUUUACCUUGUACUUGGUUGGGCAGAUGGCUACAUAGCUAUUUCAUGCUUCUAAGUAGUUACACACGGUCCUUGUAGAAUAAUGCCCAAAAAAACAACUUCCAUGAACAAUAGGGAACACAACACAUACAGUAGCCUCAAAGCACUGUAGUUCUCUCUAAACUAAACCAUGCUCAUAGUAAGUAAAUAGAGGGGCACAAAAGGCAUACCUGCAGCAGAGCCAGAUCGCCGAGUGUCUCCAUUUUCUGAAUAUCCAAGAGAAAACGUCGCCAGUUUUUUUCCCGCAGACUCCCGUGUGCCUUUGGGACAGCAAAACAACCCUAAAGAUCGUAAUCAUAUUAUUUCAUGGAAGAAAUUUUUAGGAAACUAACAAGUCAACUCUUUUAAACACUUUCUACCUAGAGUCUAAGAGGCUGCAGAUAGCAAGUGAAACAAAACAAAAUCAAGCUGAAAUCAGACCACAAAACAUCGAGUUCGUGCCGAUGGCCAAAGUCCUGGCCGCCACCCCAUACACCAUGCCCGCGUACGUGUUUAUAGUGAGUCCACUAAUGCGAGCAUGCCGAUUAAACACAAGAAAACGUAUAGUACGCCAUUCUGUGAAGAAAUUGACUAAUGAAGGUCAUUGAAAAUUUGGUGGUAAGCACGAUCAUUCAGGCAGGACGCCGACGCACUCUCUCUUCCUCUCGAUGCCGCGCUCCUCGACAACGACCCGCCUCUCCCUCCUCUCAAAAGCCGGCCGGACGCCGACCUGGAUCUGCCUCAUCACCGGAAGCCGCCUCGAUGAGCUCCUCUUCCACUCUCGUGCGUGUGCUAGCUGCUCCCGCUUGAGCUACUGGUGUUGUGCUGCUGCUUGUGCUACUGUUCUGUUGUGCCAUGGAUGGGUGGUUCUGCUGAUACUAUUGGCUGCUGUUCUAAAAAAAUCAGUUUUUCAGUUGAAGCAUGUGUACAGUGGGCAGUCUAAUCUUCCAAGGGCAAGAGCCUAACAUAUUUUCAGAGAUGCGCAAUUCAGAUCAUGCAGUCACAAAUAAAUGAUAUGACAGUAAAUCCAUCCAAUUUGCUAUUCAAUCAUAUACCUUCCAUAAUGAUGUAUCCCCUAUUUUAAUCUUGCACUGAAAGUUACAUACAGUGAAUGACAUGUAUGUUUAUACACCAAGCUUAAAAUCUGAAAAGAGCAAAAAACACCAACAUUAAUUUGCAGAGACACACCUGCUUGGUCAACGACAUCCACGUCCACCUGGACAUCCUCAACAGGUACUCGCACACUUCCACCAUCUUGCACCCGGCGGUGAAGUGCAGUGCCCCAGCACCGUGAUUCUUGACAGCUUGCACCAUCUCUGCGAGAUGGCCGUGACCACCUUCAAGCUGCCUUGCCAUCCCUGCACAGACAGAUAAAUCGAUCAAGCACAAUCUUGGAACCAGCCGAGAGUCGCAAGAGCACCCGCCCAUGGUUCCUCUUCUUGUCCCUAAACCCAAUCUCACUCAGUUAAACCUCUAAGUAGUGCUAUCUCAUGGAAGAAGUCAGGUUAUUAAAUGUACAAUAUAGUUUCGUCAAAAGAAUGUACAAUAUAGCAACCAACCAUAGGUGAGCAUGAAUCAUAAGAUUGCAUUCUUAUAGCUGGGUUGAUGUGGUUUUUCACCCAUUUGUUUAGCUACAGCAAUAUCAUCAGUGUAUAAGUAAAUGAUGCAUCUAGGCAAACCAACUCUUUAGGUAAGCUAUUCUGACAAAAAAAAUCUUCUGGGGGAGACAACUAUUGGCACAUACCAGACUAAUUUACAACCAUAUCAUCAUCAGUAUUUAAGUAAAGGAUGAAUCUGCAUGACAAGGAAGCACCUCAUAGUGUCAAUCAGAAGUAUCACAAAAUAAUCAAAAGAAAGAUCAUAUGUAUAAUCAAUUAGUAGAAACGUGAUCAUGCUUAUGGAGCAAUGGGACCAAGAAAAGGAACACUUUCUUUAGUAAGUAUAAGUUUUUGCUAUGAAGCACCAUAUAACAACACAGAUACGACGAUAUGGAAACAAGCACAUAGGAUACGGCUUGUAAAAACAGCAGUACAAAGAUACAACAAGUAUAUAUGAAUAAUUAAUAAAAUAUGUAUGCAAAGAAGACAAUAAAUAAUCAAUGCAUGAGAUGAAAUAAGAUCAGAAUACUGCCCCAUUUGUUGACUGAAUGAUCAUUAAUUUCCCCAAUCAACAUAACUGAAUAUCUCCUGUGUCUUUAUGUCAUUGAACUUCCCUGGCCAGCAAAGCAGCAACAUCAACAGGUCAGCCACAACAAGCAGUUUACAAUAAACCAUGAUACAAGCAUUAUACAAAUAUAUAUACAGCAAAGCACCGGCAUCAGGCCAUCAGCGGA